CAGCAGGCGCGAAAACUUUACACUGCGGGAAACCGCGAUAAGGGGACCCCGAGUGCCAGCACCUAGUGCUGGCUGUCCAGCUGUUCAAAUAACAGUUGUUAGCAAGGGCCGGGCAAGACCGGUGCCAGCCGCCGCGGUAACACCGGCGGCCCGAGUGGUAGCCGUUAUUAUUGGGUUUAAAGGGUCCGUAGCCGGCCUAUUAAGUCUCUUGGGAAAUCUGGCGACUCAAUCGUCAGGCGUCCAAGAGAUACUGGUAGGCUUGGGACCGGGAGAGGUGGGAGGUACUCCAGGGGUAGGGGUGAAAUCUCGUAAUCCUUGGGGGACCACCGAUGGCGAAGGCAUCCCACCAGAACGGGUCCGACGGUGAGGGACGAAAGCUGGGGGCACGAACCGGAUUAGAUACCCGGGUAGUCCCAGCCGUAAACGAUGCUCGCUAGGUGUCAGGUGCGGUGCGACCGCAUCUGGUGCCGCAGUGAAAACUUGAAGCGAGUCACCUGGGAAGUACGGUCGCAAGGCUGAAACUUAAAGGAAUGGCGGGGGAGCAC
rnacentral:rRNA from 1 species